rnacentral:rRNA from 1 species
UACGUAGGGGGCAAGCGUUGUCCGGAAUCAUUGGGCGUAAAGAGCGUGUAGGCGGCCCGAUAAGUCCGCUGUGAAAGUCCAGGGCUCAACCCUGGAAUGCCGGUGGAUACUGUCGGGCUCGAAUCCGGAAGAGGUGAGUGGAAUUCCUGGUGUAGCGGUGAAAUGCGCAGAUAUCAGGAGGAACACCGAUGGCGAAGGCAGCUCACUGGGACGGUAUUGACGCUGAGACGCGAAAGCGUGGGGAGCAAACAGG